AGCGAACGCUGGCGGCAGGCUUAACACAUGCAAGUCGAGCGCCGUAGCAAUACGGAGCGGCAGACGGGUGAGUAACACGUGGGAACGUGCCUUCUGGUUCGGAAUAACUCAGGGAAACUUGAGCUAAUACCGGAUAAGCCCUUCGGGGGAAAGAUUUAUCGCCGGAAGAUCGGCCCGCGUAAGAUUAGCUGGUUGGUGAGGUAAUGGCUCACCAAGGCUACGAUCUUUAGCUGGUCUGAGAGGAGGAUCAGCAACACUGGGACUGAGACACGGCCCAGACUCCUGCGGGAGGCAGCGGUGGGGAAUAUCGGACAAUGGGCGCAAGCCUGGUCCAGCCAUGCCGCGUGAGUGAUGAGGGCCUUAGGGUUGUAAAGCUCUUUUAGCAGGGACGAUAAUGACGGUACCUGCAGAAAAAGCCCCGGCCAACUUCGUGCCAGCCGCCGCCGUAA
rnacentral:rRNA from 1 species